UAGGGAAUCUUCCACAAUGGGCGAAAGCCUGAUGGAGCAACGCCGCGUGUGUGAUGAAGGGUUCCGGCUCGUAAAACACUGUUGUAGGAGAAGAAUGACAUUGAGAGUAACUGUUCAAUGUGUGACGGUAUCUUACCAGAAAGGAACGGCUAAAUACGUGCCAG
rnacentral:rRNA from 1 species